GGAUGUGGUAUAGGAAUGAUGGACUUCCUCUCGGUGUCUCUUGACAAGGCUUUCCUCAUAUCUGCAGAAAAGGACAAAGAUACUUGUCUUGGCUGUGCAGGGCUUAGUGGAUUUCACUAACUCUUUGGUGGUGAGGUUGAUGAUAUGGACCAGGACCAGGAGCCUCGGGAACGCAGGGACUUCCCCGAGACAUGACUGUGGCUAGACAGCAACACAGGAGAUUCUGCCACGGCUGAGUUCCCUCUAACUGUUCCAGACUGCAUCACUUCCUGUGUAGCCACUGCCUUCAUCAUGUCUGCUGACCUGGGCAUGGGCAUCACUGAGAUCCCUGCUGAGGUCAUCACACACACACGCAUCUGCAUCAUUGGCACCCUGUAAAGUCACUGUUUCUACUCUACUCUAUGUACUCUUUUUUGUGUUUUCAGCUCAACAUGUUCCAGGACAUCUUCCUGUCCUUGAAUCUACCUGUGUUCAUAAUCCGAGGCAAGCUGCUGCUUGUGGAGGUCACCUUCUUCAACUACCUGGAAGAGGAGCUUGAGGUUGCUGCCUUCACUGUAGUCAAUGUCGCUCUCAGAUGUCUGUCUGGCAUAGCCACUUUGAUAUUAUUUACUGUAACAUAUUCACAAAUGUUAUCCUCCUGUAGUGGAGAAGCAUUCAGAACUAGAAUGAACCCUUUUUGGUCAGUUUGUAUUAUCUUUAUAAUGAUCACCGGCACUAAACACCUCUUGGGUCGUGCUAGAGGUAUCUAAGCAUUGAGCCCAUUAAUCCAACAUGGAUUUAUCCCAGCACUAUCACCACUAUGUGGAGCAGGACACGAGACAGUCAUUUUAUCAUAGUUCUAAUCUGUAAUAUUGUUGCGACACGUCAUGUUGUUUUUAUCAUAUGGGGUAAAGAACAAUUACAUUUGUCUGUCCAUACAUUCCAUGUAUUUUAAUCUGGGUGACUUCCCUCUCGUCUCUUUAUUUUUCUCCUUGCUUUUUCUUAUGUUCUGCUCGGUCAUGGUGAUAUUUGCUCAGAUUCACUCAUUUAAGUUUGUCUUACCGGACAAUG